UGUUUGGACAGCUCCAAGGUUGGUAAUAGG
rnacentral:piRNA from 1 species